rnacentral:rRNA from 1 species
AUGGCAUCUAGUGCUUGGUGGAACCGCCGCUUGCCCUCCUCGUUUUAGAAAAUUUACUGAGGGAAGGGGGUGUGGUUUUUUCACGGGCCCCCGACCGAAGGAAGUAUUGGUUGGUUGGUUAGUUAGCCCCUGGCUUGCAUUUUCGUGCCCCUUCGAAGAAGUGAUUACCUGCGACCGACCGCUGCAUGUAGCGUGGCAUCGAUGAAGAACGCAGCAAAAUGCGAUACUUGGUGUGAAUUGCAGAAUCCCGUGAACCAUCGAGUCUUUGAACGCAAGUUGCGCCCCAAGCCUUCUGGCCGAGGGCACGUCUGCCUGGGUGUCACAAAUCGUCGUCCCCCCAUCCUCUCGAGGAUAUGGGACGGAAGCUGAUCUCCCGUGUGUUACCGCACGCGGUUGGCCAAAAUCCGAGCUAAGGACGUCAGGAGCGUCUUGACAUGCGGUGGUGAAUUUAAUUCUCGUCAUAUAGUCAGACGUUCCGGUCCAAAAGCUCUUGAUGACCCAAAGUCCUCAACGCGACCCCAGGUCAGGCGGGAUCACCCGUUGAGUUUAUCCCUAUCAAUAUCAGGAAGACCAGC